ensembl:Mt_tRNA
CAAAAUGUAGCUUAAACAAAAGCAUUUAGCCUACACCUAAAAGACUUCAGCUUACCCUGACCAUUUUGA